AUUGAACGCUGGCGGCAUGCCUUACACAUGCAAGUCGAACGGCAGCGCGGACUUCGGUCUGGCGGCGAGUGGCGAACGGGUGAGUAGCAUAUCGGAACGUGCCCUGGAGUGGGGGAUAACUAGUCGAAAGAUUAGCUAAUACCGCAUACGUCCUGAGGGAGAAAGUGGGGGAUCGCAAGACCUUAUGCUCGUGGAGCGGCCGAUAUCUGAUUAGCUAGUUGGUGGGGUAGAGGCCUACCAAGGCGACGAUCAGUAGCUGGUCUGAGAGGACGACCAGCCACACUGGGACUGAGACACGGCCCAGACUCCUACGGGAGGCAGCAGUGGGGAAUUUUGGACAAUGGGGGCAACCCUGAUCCAGCAAUGCCGCGUGUGUGAAGAAGGCCUUCGGGUUGUAAAGCACUUUUGUCCGGAAAGAAAUCGUCCUGGCUAAUACCUGGGAUGGAUGACGGUACUGGAAGAAUAAGCACCGGCUAACUACGUGCCAGCCGCCGCAGUAA
rnacentral:rRNA from 1 species